CUCAGAAUCAACGCUGGCGGCGUGCCUAACACAUGCAAGUCGAACGAGAAAGUGGAGCAAUCCAUGAGUAAAGUGGCGCACGGGUGAGUAACACGUGACUAACCUACCCUGGAGUGGGGAAUAACUGAGGGAAACCUUAGCUAAUACCGCAUAAUACCUACGGGUCAAAGGAGCAAUUCGCUCUGGGAGGGGGUCGCGGCCGAUUAGUUAGUUGGCGGGGUAAUGGCCCACCAAGACUAUGAUCGGUAUCCGGCCUGAGAGGGCGCACGGACACACUGGAACUGAAACACGGUCCAGACUCCUACGGGAGGCAGCAGUGGGGAAUUUGCGCAAUGGGGGAAACCCUGACGCAGCAACGCCGCGUGGAGGAUGAAGUCCUUCGGGACGUAAACUCCUUUCGAUCGGGACGAUAAUGACGGUACCGGAAGAAGAAGCCCCGGCUAACUUCGUGCCAGCAGCCGCGGUAAUACGAGGGGGGCGAGCGUUGUUCGGAAUUAUUGGGCGUAAAGGGUGCGUAGGCGGUUUGGUAAGUCUUAUGUGAAAUCUAUGGGCUCAACUCAUAGACUGCAUGAGAAACUGCCGGGCUUGAGUGUGGGAGAGGUGAGUGGAAUUUCCGGUGUAGCGGUGAAAUGCGUAGAUAUCGGAAGGAACACCUGUGGGAAAGCGGCUCACUGGAUCCACAACUGACGUUGAUGCACGAAAGCUAGGGGAGCAAACAGGAUUAGAUACCCUGGUAGUCCUAGCCUUAAACCAUGAUUGCUUGGUGUGACUGGGUACCCAAUCCCGCCGUGCCGUAGCUAACGCGUUAAGCAAUCCGCCUGGGGAGUACGGUCGCAAGGCUGAA
rnacentral:rRNA from 1 species